UCCCUGGUGGCUCAGAUGGUAGAGAAUCUGUCUGUAAUUUAGUAGACCUGGGUUCAGUCCCUGGCUUGGGAA
rfam:TPA: Bos taurus chromosome 21, whole genome shotgun sequence.